GACGUAGGGCGCGAGCGUUGUCCGGAUUUAUUGGGCGUAAAGAGCUCGUAGGCGGCUUGUCGCGUCGACUGUGAAAUCCCGCGGCUCAACUGCGGGUCUGCAGUCGAUACGGGCAGGUUAGAGUUCGGUAGGGGAGACUGGAAUUCCUGGUGUAGCGGUGAAAUGCGCAGAUAUCAGGAGGAACACCGGUGGCGAAGGCGGGUCUCUGGGCCGAUACUGACGCUGAGGAGCGAAAGCGUGGGGAGCGAACAGG
rnacentral:rRNA from 1 species